AUGCAAGGAUAGUAGCUAACUAAUAUUCAUAUUAGGAACUUCCGAGGUUUAUAUGGCCGUUCUCAAUCAUCCACUUGAGGCUCCAGUGGUUCUGAGCACAUCUGUAAGCCCAAUACGCCCAUCCAAAAGUGGCACGCCUGUACACAUCUAUUUGAGCUUUUGCAAAUCUCUGGUAGUCUUUCUUUGAUGCUCCACUUUUUGCCCAUUCUGCGGUCCAUUCCCCUACAAAAUUCACCACCAUCAUAUAGAUCUGUAUGGCAAAUAAUUCUAAAUCCAUGAUUGUGUUAUAAGCAAUAAAUAUGUGAUUCAUACUUACCUACAAAACUGAGAGGGCCAUUGGAAGUGGUAACAGCACUGAGGUCUGAAGCUCUCUGGCUAUAGAUGAAAUCAAUAUUCUGUUGUACGUUCAUGUUGUUAAACAUAUCUGAGAAGAGGCUGUAGUAAUGCACAUCGAUCACUACACGAUUAAGGCCCCUGGCGAAGUCCAGGAGCUCCUUGGAGUCAGCAGGCCCCAGUCGGUUCGAUAGGAUCACAUAAGCAUUUGAUGUGUACUUCCUCACGGCAUCGUAACCAGCUUUGUAAUACUUCUUAAGAUCAUUGAGUGUAACUCCUGGAGCCAGAGGCUCAUUCAUCAACUCAAUGGAUGCUAGACUCGGGUUGUUGGCAUAUCUGCCCAAAAAUCAAGUCUGAACCAUUUAAGGCAAUGGCCAAAAAAAUAAAAAAAAUGUUAAGAUAAACUUUAUUUUAGCUUCUGAAACCUUGCUGCUAGGAAGUCUAUGACUGCAACAGUAUCUUGAAUAUUGGAGUCUCCCCAUUCCUGAAACCCAUCUCUGGUCCCACUAUGAUCGUUGCCAUUUUGUGAACCUUGAACUGCAUGCAGAUCAACUAUAAUCUUCAUGCCGUUGUUCCUGCAAAAUUAGUGAUUACCCAGAAAUAUUAUGAACAUAUUGAAUGGUGGCUAAGAGGAUGGUUGGAGAUGGAGUUGUAUGGCUGUUUUUCUUUCACUUACUGUGCCCAUGUGAAAGCAUUGUCCAAGGCCUUUAAGGAGCCCCCCACAAAAGGCUUUGGUGGUGUUGGGUCGCUCGCUAUCCACCACCCAACUGGAAUCCUAACCGCAUUCAGACCAUUUGAUGACAAGAAUCUGAAAUCCUCAUUAGUGAUGUAUGCAUUCCAGUGAUCCUGAUAUUAAGAGGUUUAUGCUUUUAUUAUGAUCAAAUGCUUUACUGAUGAUUGUGAUAAAAAGUAUUCAUCAGUUAAAUGUUCUUGCUAGGCUUGUUGGAGAAAUCAUAUUUGAAUCCUUACCUGCAUGACUUGAGGGGCUCUGUCUGGACCAUAGCCAUUAGUGAUUUGGUAUUCUCCUUGUAAGGUCCGGACUAUCUUCAUUUGGAAGACGGAUGGAUUAUUGUCAUCCCAACCUGAGCCUCCAUAGUCUGCAGUCACCAGCCCCGGUUUUGCCUGAUUAUUGAAUAAAAGCCCAGUAAUCAUGAGAUCCACAAGCAUUUAUUCCUAGAACUGGUAAAUAAUUCAAUUGACAACUGAAACUAACUUGCUAUUGUUGAAUACCUGCAAAUUAGCUAGCUAUUACUAUAGCCCCGGAGAUAGGAGAGGAGGUGGAUCCUAGUUUAGAACUGAGACCUAAUGUGAACUGGGAGAUUGAAACCAAGCCUAAGGUUGAUUGGCUAGCAACUAAUUUCGGUUAAACUUCGACUUUUAGUUUGAAUUGAUCAUGAAUUAAAUUUUAUUUCACUCAGAGACACCUGUAAGAACAUGUACCUCCAUUAUUGAUAUCACCAGUCACUAUACGAUUGUACAUGGAACAUGCGUGUGCCAGAGGCAUGUAGCUGAGGAAGACAAUCCAAAUUCUUGUUCAGGCAAGGGGAAGAUGGUAAAUGCAAUAACCCUCCAUUUUUCUUAUCCUAAAUGGACUAAGGAUGAUAUUUAUAUUAAGUAGGUCCCAGAAAUGGUUGGUUAAAAACUGUGCUCCCAUGUUUGUAUUGCUACUAUCAGCUAGAUCAGUCCCUUUUUCAUCCCUGAAUGGAGCCGAGGAUACAGUAAAAAAGGCAGAUGCUGGGACCAGAUCAUAGAUCUUUAUAUUAUUAGUCUAACCCUCAGCUUAUCAGGUUUUCACAUGUAUGGGCUUGUUCUCUAGUGUUCUACACAAUACUACCAUUUUUUAUGGGGUGUUUAAGAGCCCAAAAGAGUGAGGAAAUGCCUUGUGCCCUGAAAUAUACAGUUUUAGGAUGGAUAGGACACCUGGAGGAAGAGGCCAUUUGAUGCUUUUAUGCGAACUCGAUUUUGAUCGUCGUUCUUCCUUACUAUCUGAAAUGUUUCUGAGUUCCCAGGGGAAUUUAGAACCGAUACCACUUUGUUUCCUUUGCCUUGAUUUUCUAGUCCAAAGAACUGUUUGUUAAACACUCUGAGAUUGAAAGUUGACUUAUUGAUCCUCCACAACUGCAUCAUAUAGUUGAAAAGCAAGGAUUGUUAACAAUGAGGAAGAAUUGAAAGAUGGUUAUAUAUGGUUAAAAGAACCCAACCCUGAAAGUCUCCCAGCCAGAGGGCGAGGUGCGGUUGGCAACAACAUCUGUCCCACCCCCAUUUUCAGCGGCGAGAUACUUCUGCAGCUUCGUAGACAUGAACUGCACUUGAGUUCCAUCCUACCAAGGAUCACAAUAAAGAGCCAUAUGUUAUUGAUGAAAUGCAAAAUUAAGCAGUAAGAAGCCCCUUUUCCUUGGUUAGUGCCGCAUUUAUCAACACAAAAAGGGGAGAUAAAACAAAAUUAGUGGCCAUAGGUGUUUAAUGAUGCAUGGCUGGUCUUAGGAAAAUGAAGAAACUGUACCAAAAGAUCUUGAUUGGGUAUCCCAGCAAAGAGUUCAGGUUUCAUCCAUCCCUCUGUAACAAGCCAAUUUCCUAGAUUCACAGCUUUAACUGGCAAAUAAGGAUCUGCACCCUGUGCAAACAAAAGAGUGGGGACCCAUGAUGAAAAGAGAUAGAAAGCCCACACACAUUUCACGUACAAGCAAGAACUCAUUUGUCACUCUCUUCCUGGAAACUGAGGAGAGUUCGAGUCGAAUACAUACAGAAGGCAAGGGCUACAAAUGGUGUAGGAUGAUAAUGAUUAGUAAAUAUUGUUCACACAAUAUUAAUUAAGGCAUUUGGGAAAUAAUGACUGGAUUGUAUUUUAGGGUUUGUAUCACUCGCUCUUCCACUGGGAAAUCUCAUUUUUCUAGAAGGCAUGCAUCACAAAUUUUGGCCACAAAUAGAAGUUGGACACGGAAUUAGUGCAAAAAUGAAGAUAACUGAGAAUCCCAAUAUGCAUUUAAUGGGAAAUUAGUAGCCGAGAUUAUGAUUUCCAAGGAUUUAUUCAACUGGAUCAGCAAAAUUCUACACGUCCCACCCAGUUUGGGAAUUCUGGGUCUAAGAUUCCACACUAUAAUGAUUUGAGUUUUGAAGAUGGGAGUCAGCGUUAGAAUUGGGUGGCGAAAUAACCUAAGUUGAAUGAGUGGAAGAGCAGGCGGUGAAGACAUUUAGUGAUCAUAAACCUCAAUUUGUAUCCUUCGAUAUAAGAUUGGAGACACAGGGAGGGAGGCACACAAAAUGGACAUAUGUAUGGUUUGUAGAGAAAGAAUUUGCUGUGGGUUGAGGUUUAAUGAUGGCUGUUUCCUACCAACCUAAAGUAAGAUUUGACAGGGGCUAUGAUAGCUCCAUAUAGGCUGUAUUGGGCUCUUGCCACUCCCUCCACUCAGGUUCUAUGCACACUAAAGACAUGAGCACUCAACAGACACAUUAUUGGGGAAUCCAAAAAGGGACUCACACCACCCCCCAAUCAUAGCUUUUCUGUUACCUCUCUGCUGUUCUUAUGAAUCAAGUCCAUCAAAACACUAUUCACCUUUGCAUUGCACUAUCUCAUGGAAAACCUGGACUUCAUGCAACAGACUUAACAUGAGAUGGUGCUAUGUGACUCAUCUAAUCAAACUCCAGGAUUGAGUUUCAAAGCAACUCUUCAAGUGGUGAAAGUUUAGUCAUAUCAUUUACUCCGCAAGAAAUCCACACAUGACAACCAUAUCCUAGUAACCCCAAAAUUUAGAAGACUACAGAGGUGCAUUAUCAAAGUAGGAAAAGCAAAAUGAAGGAAGAAACAACAUGGAGGUUCUUAUAAUUUUAGCCGGGGAAAAAGGGGAACAUGGUUAGAAAAGUACCCGACUGAGCAGGGGCUUCAUUUGCUCCCUGUAGCCAUCAAGAACUCGCCCUCACAUACCACCUCAUCUCACCUCCUACAUAUGCCUUCCCUUCCAUUUUUGCAAUUCCAAACCGUUUUUGAUGCUUAACCAGAGUCAUUCGCAUAACCAAAGUGUCUCCUGCAAUGACUGGUUUCUGGAACCUCACUUUGUCGAUUCCUGCAAAGAAGAAAUUCUCACGAGAGCCUCCAACUUCAGGUUGAAGCAUAACCAAGCCCCCAACCUGAGCCAUUGCCUGGACCCACCAACCACUUUCAUCAGCAAUUACUAGAGGCACAUGUAAUGUAUCCAAAUCCAAACUUGAUAGAAACAGGGUUGUAAAAAGAAUUUAACAAUAACAAUUUUAGCAAUGCUGCAAUGGGAAAAAAAUCAGAAAUAAAGACACUCUUUUGAAGCUAGAAGUAUUAAUUGGGACAUGAUGAAAGAAACUAGUCUAAAGAUGGUUUUUCCAUUUGGAAUGAGGACAAAUGACUGCACGUAUUAGCAGGAGAAUUUUAAUUCAAAUUGAAGAAUAUGAUAGAACAAUGUUACAUUAUAAAAACUGCCUCUAGAUUUCUAUUUGUGAAGUAGGCAGAUAUUAUACGGUGAUGCACUUUGGAGAACAAACACUGCAAUGGGUAUAAAACUCAGUGAUUUGGUUAUCCCUAGGGAGAUCUGAGGCAUUGUCUACUAACAAACAAAAUAAAAACAAAAAGGUCCCACAACCAAAUGGUUAUGAAAUGUAAGGGAAAAGUUGAGACCAAAAUUUGAUAGCUGGUUCUGCCCACUAAAAUGAAAAUCCUCAUUUUAGUUUAGAGAUUUUAUAAAAUUAGCACUUUGCUAUUGAUUACACUUUUCUAUCCCAUUAAUGUGUCCUCAGACUUCUGUGCAGGAGGUUGCAAUUCAGUCUCUUUACCAAAGUCUGACAGUCAACUCCUGUGCACAGAAGCACAAACUAGUACAAUAAAGCAGUAAACUGUGGAGCCUGUGCAGGCCUUGAUUCACCUGGAAGAUGCACCCUUCAUCCCCAGGUCAGGUAAGGCCUGAGCAAGCUCCACAGUCAUAGAUCAUGGGUCUCUCCUCUAUUCCCUACUGAAAAUAGCAGCCCAAAGAGCUCUAUUCAUACUUAUUUUUUUUAAUCAUUGAGGAAUCUUCAAUGAUCAAGCCCUUAGGAUGUUCCAUGGAGACCCAAACCUAGGGUUGCAGAUCAUGCCUGCAACAACCAGCACCGGGUAAAUCAAGGUAUUUAACCAGCAGUAGGAUUCGAAACUAGGACCAUGCACCUCUACUACACAUCCAAGCAUUCAUAGUUAUAUUGUAUCGAAUAAGCUAAAACUAUUAUUCAUUCUCAUCUAUUGAACUAGUCAAAGCUAAAAGAGGAGCAUGUCUUAGAUGUGUUGAUAAUUUUAUGGUGAGAAUCAUACUUAUAGCAACCUGGCCAAAUUGGGAGAAUCUACAGGUAUUAUUCUUGGUCAAUUUACUAGAGAAUCAAAUAGUCAACUAACAUUAAGAACUUUUCAUAUUGAGAGAAUAUCCAUGUGAUAUCCCACAUGGAUAGAGGAAACAAUUCUUAGCAUCACAUAUGUAUAAAUUUUUCUUAAUCAUAUAAAUAUGUUUUAAAGUAAGAUCCCAUUGAGCCUAGAGCGGAUAAUAUCUACAUAAGAAAGAACAAGUUGUUACAAAUGGUAUUAGGGCCAAUUUACAACCCUGAUGUGGGCCUUUGUUCGUUUGGUCUUUAAAGGGAUGUCUAUCUAUUUGGCCCACGAUCCUAUGGGACAUGAUAAGGAUGAUGAGUGACAAUUCUACAAAAACAUUAACUUCUAUUACAGAUGAUCAAUAAGUAGAAUCAGAAUAAGUGAUUGCUGGGAUUCAUGCCAGAAUGUACACUUUUCACUUUGAAGAGAGUGCCCAAAAACAUAUUUAUUCCGAUGCAAAGGGGAAGAGCAACAACUAUAGGUCAACAAAAAGAAGAGGCAGGUUAUCUUCAUCAACUUACAGAAAUUUGUGGUAAAACCAAUUGUGAGAUAAUGAUAUGGAUGUCCCAAAAUAAAGGAGUCGCAAAGCAAUAUAUUGGAGUGAUUAUGAACUUGGGGGAAGAAAUUAUCUUGUUGCACUGAUUAUGAAUGAAAUAUGUGGCUAUAUAUAUUAUGAGGUAUGCUAUGCUAUUGAGUGUUGAUUGCAAAUAACCAUUUAAUGGCAAAAUUAGCAAUGGAUACCAAAUUGGAAUCAUUUGCAGUUGCUUUCGAACACCCAGCUUCAAAAUAAUUUGGAGAAUUAUAUUGUAUGAGCAGAAUGUUGAGAACAGGGAAAAAAAUUGCAAAUUGACAUGGCUAUAUCAGAAAGUUGAGUGACAAAAUAAGUGAACACAACAUUAUAGCUAGGUGAAUAUGGCAAAACAAAAGAGUGAUCUGAUAGGGAAUAACAUAUAGAGUGCUGGACUCUAAUAAACUGAUACAGAGCACUGAAAACCUAUGAUAAUCUGAGUGUAAGAGGACAAGGAUGAAAGAAGUAUGAAGAUUUGAAAUCAGCAAUAAAAAAGCCUGAAGCUCCUGAUGAGAUGCAAGUCAUAUGGCAAUAACAUGAAAACAAAAUCCCAAAAUCAAAAGAAGGAAAUCAUCAACUCAUUAACAAAAGGAAAAAGAGCACUCCUAAGUCCUAUGUAUUAAAAGCUGAAUAAGUAGUGCCACAAAAGGGUACCAGGAAUUAUGAUAUGCCAAUCAGAGUAUAAGUGUGAUGUCAACCAUGCAUUGGACAUAAAUGAACUGUUAUAUUUGGCAUGGAGUCAUAGACAAGGAAGUAAGACAUUUCAUUUAGCACCACAUGUAGAAUGCUAUUGUUAGUUGCGCUCCAUUCCUGUUGCCUAACAAAAAGUAAUAAGAAGCAAAAGAAAAGAAGUGCAAUGUUUAAUAGCAUUGUAUAACUAAUGCUAAAUCGAAUGUCUUACUUCCUUAUUCAUAACAAAUAAAAAAGUUUGUUUAUAUCUAAUGUAUGGUUGACGUGCCAAGAAUCAAGUAAAAGCUUAAAAAUACCACCUCUGAUGUCCUCCCUCCCACCACUCCUCCCCCAAUUAAGUAUCAAUUAACAACCAAUGAACUUCAAUGCCAAAAUUUUACAAGUCAAUGAACGAGAAGAUAAAUUCUUUGAGCCUUCCUUUGCACCCAUUUGUUUAUCUUAACAUUUUAAGAACAGAAAAGCUUUGAAUCCCAGCUAUUAGGCUAUGUCCAUCUUUGUCAACCUUUUAGCUCUAUCUAGAUCAAUGUCUUGCCUUAACAAGUUAAGCAAAUGAAAAAGAUUAUAGUGAAUGUACAAAUAUUUCUUGUAUCUUUUUUGUCCUUCAAGAAAGGGGAAAAGGACAAGCUUGAUUAGGAUUGGGGUGUGCAACACGCUGAGAAUCUGCAGCCAAAUGGGAUCUUUGGGACUCAGUUAAAGAUCAUAAGAUCAUCAUCCACAUUCAAAAGGAAGAGAUAAAUUCUUUGCCAAUUUCUUCGCAACUGUUAUAAAAAAGCCCACCUAGCGUAUCUAAAACCAACAAUAUAACCUUAAAUUCCAAUUAUUUGGGCUCAGUUACAUUGGAACAACAGGAUUUGUUUUUUCCAAGAUAUGGGAAAAGGGAUCAGCUUGAUUAUGAAGAGGGAAUGAAACUUCCAGAGCAUCUGUAGCCAAAAAGUGCUUGAUUCACUUGUAGGCUCAAUUAAGAUAAUGGACUAGUAGUCUGCUCAGUUCAAGAUUAGCUGGAUAAUCUGCACAUUCUUUUUGUUCUCCGAGGAUGAGUAAUGCUAUUUUGGGUAAUUGUGCUUGUAAUCAGCCAUGGGAGCUCGAAGCUCCAAGUGGGAGGACAGUGGAUGGAGAUAGCCCCCUCUGAGUCAGACUCAACACUUCUACGGGAGAUGUUAAGAUCUCAACAAAUUUGAAGACUACUCCUCAUGGCCCACAGUUAGCACAUACAAUAAUAAAACUGCAUACAAACCAUGCACGACCUCUUAUUCAUGUCAAUCUAAUGGUCAGAUAACUCCCAAGGAUCUCAGCUGAUGAAGGAAAGACUUUGAUUUUCCAGAAGGAAGCAAAGAACAAUGUAUACCUAAUUCCUAGUUUCAUCUGGAUUAUCCAACAAGGAGCCUGUCCUAAUGGAGAAUAGUAACUCAGUUAAUGGGUUGAUUCCUGACUGUCUGGGUUUCUUGUCAAUUCAAGAAUGCUAAAUACUAUUCAUGUUCUCUGUUAUAAGAAAUUCUACGGUAAAGCUCCAUCAUGAAUCAUAAACCAAUAACCAUAACACUAGUUUGAGAUAAGUUGGUAAGUGACUGCAUCAUAUGUUUUCCAAAAACUGUGUACCCCACUUUUAGAGCUGAAGCUAAUCCCUCCAAAGAUCUUCGUAACACUUAGAACANNNNNNNNNNNNNNNNNNNNNNNNNNNNNNNNNNNNNNNNNNNNNNNNNNNNNNNNNNNNNNNNNNNNNNNNNNNNNNNNNNNNNNNNNNNNNNNNNNNNUCAACAAUUGGGAACAUUAGACUUAAAAGGGAAAAAACAUAAGAGAAAAGAAAGAUUGAGGCAAAUCCCAAUGGGAGGAAUCCUGUGACUAACAUAUAUAAUUAAGGGGACCCAAGUCCUUAGAGCCCAACCAUUGCUUAUUCAACGUGCACAAAUAUGUCGAGUUCUUUAUUUUUCAAACAUUUUCUUUUAUUUUCUAGUAAAUUGAAUUCAAAUGAAGAACAUAAAGUUUGGCAAUAAGCAAAUUACCUCAACCAUGAGCACACCAGGCAUAAUUGGCCUCUCAGGGAAGUGCCCAGGAAAGAAGUUAUUGUUAUAGUCACAUUCUUAAUUGCUAUUGCUGAGAUCCCUGGGUUGUACUCAAUCACUCUAUCCACUAAAAGAAACGGAAACCUGAGAUACAACCAAAAACAAAAUUGCCAAUACGACUGCAAAGUAAUGAGAGAAAAAGAAAAGAAAAGAAAAGAAAAAAGGAAGACUGCAACUUCAAGCUGAGUUUGAUUGUCGAGAAAAUGUAAGGUUUAAGCUGAAUUUGAUUGUCGAGAAAAUGUAAGAAUAAAUAAAAUAGGACAUUAGACUGAAAUUUUCCAUCUUAGCCUAGAAUCAACUAUUCGGCUUAGUUAAGCUGGGUUUAGCAUUUUCAUAAACCAAUAUAACACACAAAAAUUCAAGAUUUUAUUUUUCUUUCCUUCUGCUUUCCUCCCUUUUCACAUCAACCAAACAGAGAACAGCAAAAAAUAACCAAAGGGAAACUCAAAUGCAUGAAACCACGAAUACAGAAACUCACCUGUGCGGUAAAAUUUCCCGUAUUUGAUUAAUAUCCAUCACCGUAGGAAAUGCUGAAUAUGCUACAGAACAACCAUAACAAAAAACAGAAAAAAUUUGAACACAAAACCUAACAGAAUAGAAAAACAAAAGAAUCAAUGCAGAAAUGCCGGAAGAAGAGCAUACUCUUUUCGACGGGAACGUCUCCUUUACCAGCGUCGAGAGAAGCGCAAGCGAUGAAGGUGGAUCGAGGAUUGGAUUGAAGAGAAAGAAAGCGAGGGGCAGAGAGAGAAACGGUGAAUGUAGAGGGUCGGCGAGGAGAUAGAGGGGAAGGAGAAGUGAGAGGAGAGAAGAGAGAGUUGGAAAUGGUAGCCAUUUUCCGAGAGGGAAAGAGGGAGAGAGUAGAGAGGACGGUCGGAGUGAACGACGCGAAAGGGAUAGUUUGUGUGUUGAACACAGCGGAGAUUUCAAAGACUGCCCUUUUUUCAUUUCAUCAGUUUCCACUAACAAGACCUUCAGCUACCUGCUCUCUGAAAUUUGAAUGGGAAAAUUGUGUUUUCAAUCCGGCUAGUAACGUCCUCCUGCCACUCGAAGUUAAACGUUAAACUCAAAAUGCAAUGAAAAAAAUGAUAUUAUCUUUAAAAAAAUUCUUAAAAUAUCAUUAACUAUUAAAUGAAAAAACUAAUUGGUCACCUACCUUUGUCUCUUUUCUGACUCUUUUACAAUUUUCUCGUCUAUUUAUUAGGAUUAAGUUGAAUUUCCUAAUCAUUUUUUUCCGUCAAAUUAAAUAUGAAAAAUAAAUGAUUAAAAAUUAUUAUUAUUAAAUGUAUUUUUGAAGUAAAUAACUUUUAAAUACCUCAUCAAAUAUUACUCUUUUUUUCAAACUUACAUAAUAUAUAAUAAAUAUUUUUUAAAUACCUUGAAAAUUUACAUAAUAUAUAAUAAAUAUUAAUCUUUAUUUCAAAUUUAUAUUAUUUCUCGUAUAUGUUAAACAAUUUUUAAACACCUCAUAAAAUAUUAGUAUUUUUUUUUAUUCUAACUCUUAAAUCAGACAUCAUCAAAUAUUAUUUUUUUUUUCAAACUUAUAGGAUAUAUAAUAAAUACUUUUUAAAUACCCUAGCAAAUUUUUUUUUCUUACUUACAAAAUAAUAAAUAUGUUUUACAUUAUUUCUUAUAUACAUUAAAUAAUUUUUAAAUACCUUAUAAAAUAUUUUUUUUCUAACUUGCAAAUUAAACACAGAGUGUUUAUUAUUUCUCAUAUUAUUUCGAAAAUAAUGUAAACACAUAUUUCUAAGAUUAAAUUGCCAAACUUUCAAUAAUUUUGAAAGUGUAAACAGGGUAAUUGAAAAAAUUAAAUUCUUCAAUAUAUUCAAAAUUUCUCAAAUCCAAAAUUACAUAAUUGCUCCCCACACUAAUCCUAAAUAUUUUUAAAUAAAUAUUUAAAUAUUUAAAACUAUUAAAAUAAAUAUUUUCUUAUCAAAUCAAUUUUUUUUUAAAGUAAUAAGAUAAAAAUCAUGAAAUCUUCAAAACUAUAAUUAUAACAAAUAUUUUUAAUUUAAAACUAAUUUCAUAAUUUAAAUUACUAUUUUAAAAAAUAAAAAUGUUACAAAAAUAAUUUUUGUUUAUUUUAAUUCCAUUUAAAUAUGAUUUUUUAAUCUCUAUUUAUAACAAUAGAAUUAUGUUUAUAAAGGCAAAAUAGUAUAUAUAUAUAUAUAUAUAUUUCAUUUAGUUUACUUAAACAAUUCAAAUAUGAUUGAUUUUAAUUUUAUUUCUUAUAUGUUAAUUUCUGUAGGAAAAGUAUUAGUGAUAUAGUUUGGUAAAUAAAUAAAAUAUCAACAAUAAUCUUAAUGUCAAGUUCAAGUUAUUUAAAAAUCGUACAAAACUUAUUAGGAGUUUUGUAUACCCUUAUACAUUUGACACAUUUUUCUUUUACAAUUAAUGUAAUACUUUUGUAUAAUAGUGCAAAUUUCAUAUCCCUCUUAAGUUUUAUGUUCAUGUAGGUGUAUUAAACAUGUUUUUAAUAAUUUGGUUGAUAAAAUGGUGGAUGACUUAAGGUCAAUUUUUUUUCCCCAAAUAUCAUUAUUAAGGAAAGCAUUGGAAUUUUCGUAUGAGAAUUAAAUAAAAUGCAUGAUAUAGAUAUACAAUUCGUGGGUAAUAAGAAAAAUAAAGGAAUGAUUCAUAAUAAAUUGAAAUCUUUCAUAAAAUAUAGCUUUGUACACCCUUGUAUACUUAGUACAUUUUCCUUGUAUACUUAGUGUAAUGCCCUGGUACAGUGACAUAAAUUUCAUAUACCUCAUAAGUUAUGUAUCUACAUAGGUGUAUUUAAUCAUAUUUCCAAUGAUUUAGUUGAGAAAAUGGUGGAUGAUAUAGGGUCAAUUUUUUUCCCCAAAUAUCAUUACUAGAAAAGUAUUGGAAUUUUCAUGUGAAAAUUAAAUAAAAUGCAUGAUAUAAGUGUACAAUUUGUAGGUAAUAAGAAAAAAAAAAUGAUUUAUAAUAAAUUGAAAUCUUUCACAAAAUGUAGUUUUGUACACUCUUAUACAUUUAGUACAUUUCUCUUAUAUAAUUAGUGUAAUACCAUUGUACCGUGACAUCAUAAAUGAAUAAAUGAAAUUUAAUUAUUUUUAUUAUUUUCAUAUAAAAAAUAGUAUUAAACAAGGUUUUCAAUUUUUAUUUUUAAAAAUAGUUUUUAUUUUUUAAUUAAACAUAUUUUCAAAAAGAGAUAAUAUAGAAAAUAAAAAUUAUUUUAAAAAAUAAAAAUAAAAACUAAAAAAAUAAAAAUAGAAAAAUAUUUUUAAACCAAACUCAAACAUAAUCUAUAAAAUUUUUAACUACUUAUUUUCAUCUAAAAUGAGUAAAUAUACUUUUCAACCCUUUUAUAUAAGAAAAAUUCAAUCUCUACCAUGUAUUGAUUUAAUCUACUUUUAAAAUUAAGUCAUACAAAAACAUUUUUAUUGGGUAUUUAAAAUAAAAACUCUCAAUUCAUCCUCUUUAUUUCUUUUUCUUUUUCUUAUUUUAAUAAAUUUUCAAUUAAUUUAAAUAAUUAAAAAAAUCUUUAGUAAACAAAUUUACAAUAUUUCAUAUGACUUAUUACUAAAAAUCAUGCUCAAAAAGUUAUUAAAAUAAGGAAGGAAGAAAAUUUUUUAAAAAUUAAACUUUUUAUUUUAUAAUAAUAAAAAAAAACUUUAAAAUACUUUUUAGUACAAAAAGAAAAAGAAAAUAGUGAAUAUGUUUGUUUUAAAUAUUAUUUUAAUAAUUAAAUUAUUUACUUCUAAAAUGUAAAAGGUAAUCUUUAUUUAUUUAAAUUAACAUUUUUUAAAAAUUAUUCCCAAAAGUAGUCUUUAAAUCAUUAAUAUAAUUUUUGUUUAUUUAUAAUUUUAAAUAAAAAAAUAAUGUUGAUUUUUCAAUUAUUUAUAAAAGAGUUUAAAAAAUAAAAAAAAUGGUUAAAUAAGAGAGAAUUUGAUGGUAGUGACAUCAGGCAUGCGAAGAGUGGUAAAAUAAAAAUAAGAAUGAGUCAAAAGGGUAUUUUUAUCCAUUACUAUUUCAUAUAUUUGUAACGGGUGAUUGAAGGAUUUUUAUCUUAAUUAUCAAAUCCAAUUGGGUUAAAAACAUAAUUCUCCCGAUUUGGAAGCUCAUCAAUAUUAUAAAUGGUUGGAGAACGUCACUCAACUGAUUUUUAUUUUUAUUUUCUGUCAUUUAAGUAAAUUAGAGAGGACCAUUUAUUUAAUGUGGAAACCGUGGAGGUGGCAUUCGGAAUUUAAAGCUUUGUAUGGUUGUUCUCAAUCGUCCACUUGUUAAGCCCAAUUAAUUAAAAUAAUAAAAGUGGUUCUACAUUUUUAGACACCAUUAUGAUUUAAUUUAGUGUUUUAAUAGACAAAGUUUUUGGAACUAGAAAUGUCAUUGAACCAAUAACUUUUCAAUGAAGGGAUUGAUGGUCAAAUAAGUUAUAUCAUAAAUAUAUAAUUAUUAUAUUAUAUAUAAUUAAAAAAAUAAGAAAUUAAGAAUAUAUAUAUAUAAAAUUAAAUUUUUUAAUAAUAUUGCUUAUUUAAAAAAUUUUGAUAUCUCAAAUUAAAUGAUGAAGAUAAAUAAAAAUUUAUUAAUAUUUAAAAUUUUAUUAGAUAAAACAUAUAUACUAUUUAAGUAUUAUGAUAUAUUUUAAAUGACAGAAAAAUUAUAAUAUUUAAUUUUAUCAUAUAUCUCAUUAUUUUCAAAUUUAAAAAUUAUUAUAUUAAAUAAUUUAUAUUAUUUUUAUACUUAUCAUUAUAUAAUAAAUAUAACAUGAAGAAUGUAUAUUUAUUUAAUGGUUUUAUAUGGUGGAAAUGAAAAAAAAAAUCAAAGUUUAUAUUAUUAUUUUAUUAAUUGUACUACAAGAAAUAUCAGAGUGAUUAAGUGGCUUAGUGAGCCAUCCCUCCCUCGUGUAACAUGUAGCCUGUGGCUCAAGUCACUUAGGCGCAAGCCUUGACAGGUUUUUCAGGAAUCGGACGGCUCAUCCGGCUUGACAGUUCAACCAUCGGUUUAAAGGGUUGAGCAUCGGUUCAUUCACUCAGACCGGAAAGUGCAUCGGUUGGCGGUCAAACCAUUACAAGCUUCAACAUAGUCCACCCCAAAUUCUAAAAUGAUAAAAGAACAGAAGUAUAAAACGAACUUAUUAUAUCUUUAAAGAUUUGCAUCUUCUUCACUUAUAAUUAUAAGUUAUAACUAGCUGAAAUACAUUUCCCCUGAGAAACCAUUACUUGGAGUGGAAGGAGACGCAAGGAUAGUAGCAAGCUAAUAUUCAUAUUAGGAACUUAAGAGGUUUAUAUAGCCGUUCUCAAUCAUCCACUUGAGGCUCCAGUGGUUCUGAGCACAUCUAUCUGUAAGCCCAAUAAGCCCAUCCAAAAGUGGCACGCCCGUACACAUCUAUUUGAGCUUUUGCAAAUCUCUGGUAGUCUUCCUUUGAUGCUCCACUUUUUGCCCAUUCUGCGGUCCAUUCCCCUACAAAA
rnacentral:lncRNA from 1 species